rnacentral:rRNA from 1 species
GACAGAGGUUGCAAACGUUGUUCGGAAUCACUGGGCAUAAAGCGCACGUAGGCGGUCUGUUAAGUCAGGUGUGAAAGCCCCCGGCUCAACCGGGGAACAGCAUUUGAUACUGGCAGACUCGAGGAUGGUAGGGGUGAGUGGAACUCCAGGUGGAGCGGUGAAAUGCGUAGAUAUCUGGAGGAACACCGGUGGCGAAAGCGGCUCACUGGACCAUAACGUGACGCUGAGGUGCGAAAGCUAAGGGUAGCAAACGGGGAUU